GAAUAAAGAGUAUCUUCAGGAGACAUAAUAAUGCAAAAAUCAUGCUCAAUAGGAUUAAGCUGAGGCUC
rnacentral:snoRNA from 10 species